AAGACUAUACUUUCAAGAAUCAUCAGAAGUCACUUCUAUACUUCAUUAUUAGAGAAGUUUCUCUGAUCCUGUGGACCCCCUGAAACCACCAGUCGGAGCUAGAGCAUCCUCUCCUGAGCAUGAAGCCAGUUCUGGUGUAACUUUGGCAACUGCCUUUUACCAUAAAUGAUCUUUCUUCUCUUCCUUUGAAAGAGUGGAAGGCGAGGAUGCAGUCUGAAUGGU